GACGAACGCUGGCGGCGUGCUUAACACAUGCAAGUCGAACGGAGUGGCGAACGGGUGAGUAAAACGUGGGUGAUAUGCCUUGAACUUUGGGAUAAGCUUGGGAAACUGGGACUAAAACCGGAUAGUGCAAGAUGAGCUCGCGGCCUAUCAGCUUGUUGGGGGGGUAAUGGCCUACCAAGGCGUCGACGGGUAGCCGGCCUGAGAGGGUGUACGGCCACAUUGGGACUGAGAUACGGCCCAGACUCCGACGGGCGGCAGCAGUGGGGAAUCUUGCACAAUGGGCGGAAGCCUGAUGCAGCGACGCCGCGUGGGGGAUGAAGGCCUUCGGGUUGUAAACUCCUUUCGACAGGGACGCGGUACCUGUAUAAGAAGCUCCGGCUAACUACGUGCCAGCAGCCGCGGUAAUAC
rnacentral:rRNA from 1 species